AUUGAACGCUGGCGGCAUGCCUUACACAUGCAAGUCGAACGGCAGCACGGGUGCUUGCACCUGGUGGCGAGUGGCGAACGGGUGAGUAAUACAUCGGAACAUGUCCUUUAGUGGGGGAUAGCCCGGCGAAAGCCGGAUUAAUACCGCAUACGAUCUACGGAUGAAAGCGGGGGACCUUCGGGCCUCGCGCUAUCGGGUUGGCCGAUGGCUGAUUAGCUAGUUGGUGGGGUAAAGGCCUACCAAGGCGACGAUCAGUAGCUGGUCUGAGAGGACGACCAGCCACACUGGGACUGAGACACGGCCCAGACUCCUACGGGAGGCAGCAGUGGGGAAUUUUGGACAAUGGGCGAAAGCCUGAUCCAGCAAUGCCGCGUGUGUGAAGAAGGCCUUCGGGUUGUAAAGCACUUUUGUCCGGAAAGAAAUCCUUGGCCCUAAUACGGUCGGGGGAUGACGGUACCGGAAGAAUAAGCACCGGCUAACUACGUG
rnacentral:rRNA from 1 species